CUGCGUUUUGAACCAGUUGAAAACUUUUUCGAGAACUUUUAGAACAUGCCGCGAGUAGGGAGUUACAGUAAUCUAGCCUAGAUGUAAGAAACACAUGGAUCAAUUUUUCAGCAUCAUUUUUAGACAGGAUAUUUCUAAUUGUGGCUAUGUUACACAGGUGGAAGCUGUUCUGCAGACUUGGUUAAUAUGCACUUUAAAUGAUCGCUCUUGGUCAAAUAAAACUCCUAGGUUUUCAACUGUAGCACUGGAGACUACACUCACGUUGUCCAGAGUGACUAUCUGGUCAGUUAAUGAGACUCUCACAUCUU